rnacentral:misc_RNA from 1 species
GAUGAAGAACGCAGCGAAGUGCGAUAAGUAGUGUGAAUUGCAGAAUUCCGUGAAUCAUCGAAUCUUUGAACGCAAAUUGCACUUUCUGGUAUUCCGGAGAGUAUGCCUGUUUGAGGGUCAGUGUAAUAAAAAUAAAUCGUGGUUGUUACCACUUUUCGUGGUGACGCUUCGGAAUUGAGUCGUCUUACCUUCGGUUAAGUGACUUAAAAUUUUUUCAUACGAUUUCGAAACGUAUUUAAUGUAUUAUGUAUGUUCACGAAUAUCGAAUGUUUAUUAGGUGCGGUCAUUUUCAUGAAUCGUGUCUAUAAUUUUUUUUUUUGACCUCAAAUCAGGUAAGAAUACCCGCUGAACUUAAGCAUAUCAAUAAGCGGAGGA